CCUACGGGGGGCAGCAGUGAGGAAUAUUGGUCAAUGGGCGUGAGCCUGAACCAGCCAAGUCGCGUGAGGGAUGACGGUCCUAUGGAUCGUAAACCUCUUUUAUAAGGGAAUAAAGUGAGGCACGUGUGCCGUUUUGUAUGUACCUUAUGAAUAAGGAUCGGCUAACUCCGUGCCAGCAGCCGCGGUAAUACGGAGGAUCCGAGCGUUAUCCGGAUUUAUUGGGUUUAAAGGGUGCGUAGGCGGGUUUUUAAGUCAGUGGUGAAAGUUUGCGGCUCAACCAUAGAAUUGCCGUUGAUACUGGGAGGCUUGAGUACGGUUGAGGUAGGCGGGAUGCGUGGUGUAGCGGUGAAAUGCUUAGAUAUCACGAAGAACUCCGAUUGCGAAGGCAGCAUACCAAGCCACGACUGACGCUGAUGCACGAAAGCGUGGGGAUCAAACAGGAUUAGAUACCCCAGUAGUC
rnacentral:rRNA from 1 species